rnacentral:rRNA from 1 species
UACGUAGGCAGCGAGCGUUGUUCGGAAUUACUGGGCGUAAAGAGUGUGUAGGCGGUGCUCCCAGUCUGUUGUGAAAUCUCCCGGCUUAACUGGGAGGGUGCAGCGGAAACUAGAGUGCUAGAGGGUGGGAGAGGUAAGCGGAAUUCCUGGUGUAGCGGUGAAAUGCGUAGAUAUCGGGAAGAACACCCGUGGCGAAGGCGGCUCUCUGGGACGGUACUGACGCUGAGACGCGAAAGCGUGGGGAGCGAACAGGA